GAUGAACGCUGGCGGCGUGCCUAAUACAUGCAAGUCGAGCGAACAGACGAGGAGCUUGCUCCUCUGACGUUAGCGGCGGACGGGUGAGUAACACGUGGAUAACCUACCUAUAAGACUGGGAUAACUUCGGGAAACCGGAGCUAAUACCGGAUAAUAUAUUGAACCGCAUGGUUCAAUAGUGAAAGACGGUUUUGCUGUCACUUAUAGAUGGAUCCGCGCCGCAUUAGCUAGUUGGUAAGGUAACGGCCUACCAAGGCAACGAUGCGUAGCCGACCUGAGAGGGUGAUCAGCCACACUGGAACUGAGACACGGUCCAGACUCCUACGGGAGGCAGCAGUAGGGAAUAUUCCGCAAUGGGCGAAAGCUUGACGGAGCAACGCCGCGUGAGUGAUGAAGGUCUUCGGAUCGUAAAACUCUGUUAUUAGGGAAGAACAAAUGUGUAAGUAACUAUGCACGUCUUGACGGUACCUAAACAGAAAGCAACGGCUAACUACGUG
rnacentral:rRNA from 1 species